rnacentral:rRNA from 1 species
CAGUCGCCACGGUAAUACGUAGGUGGCAAGCGUUGUCCGGAAUUAUUGGGCGUAAAGGGCUCGCAGGCGGUUUCUUAAGUCUGAUGUGAAAGCCUCCGGCUCAACCGGGGAGGGUCAUUGGAAACUGGGAAACUUGAGUGCAGAAGAGGAGAGUGGAAUUCCACGUGUAGCGGUGAAAUGCGUAGAGAUGUGGAGGAACACCAGCGGCGAAGGCGACUCUCUGGUCUGUAACUGACGCUGAGGAGCGAAAGCGUGGGGAGCGAACAGGAUUAGAUACCCCAGUAGUCCCUGUCUCUUAUAC